rnacentral:rRNA from 1 species
AGUGAACGCUGGCGGUAGGCCUAACACAUGCAAGUCGAACGGCAGCACAGUAAGAGCUUGCUCUUACGGGUGGCGAGUGGCGGACGGGUGAGGAAUACAUCGGAAUCUACUUUUUCGUGGGGGAUAACGUAGGGAAACUUACGCUAAUACCGCAUACGACCUACGGGUGAAAGCAGGGGAUCUUCGGACCUUGCGCGAUUGAAUGAGCCGAUGUCGGAUUAGCUAGUUGGCGGGGUAAAGGCCCACCAAGGCGACGAUCCGUAGCUGGUCUGAGAGGAUGAUCAGCCACCCUGGAACUGAGACACGGUCCCGACUCCUAAGGGAGGCAGCAGUGGGGAAUAUUGGACAAUGGGCGCAAGCCUGAUCCAGCCAUACCGCGUGGGUGAAGAAGGCCUUCGGGUUGUAAAGCCCUUUUGUUGGGAAAGAAAAGCAGCAGGUUAAUACCCCGCUGUUCUGACGGUACCCAAAGAAUAAGCACCGGCUAACUUCGUG